CCGUGUUCUUCUGUAGUGUACAGCAAAAUUGGUUGGUACAUGGUUAUUCUCAUGGGUAGCCAUGACCACAAGGUGAAUAACUGUAUGAAAAAGAAAUAUAUAAAUGGAAUUAAUAUAUAAAUCUAUUGAAUGAAAAUAUAACUAAAAAGUACUAUAAAUAUUUAGAAUCAGUAAGAAAUGUUUGCAAUAAUUAUUUCAAAUAAAAUAAUUUCAAUCUCAAUUGUAAAAAAAAGGCAAGGGAGAAUGUGUGUUCUGCAAUUAAAAAUUUAAUACUCACACUAAAUAAAAACAACCUAUGUAUGUAUAAUGUGCAUAAAACAGGACAAUAUUUAGUCAAUCAUAGAUCGGCAUGAUUGUUACAAUUUAAUAUGAAAUGUUUAGAUUAUAAAGAGAUAUCAAGGUUAUGUGAAUGCAAGAUCUUUUUUUUUUUCACAUGCAUAUGAUCUAGGUAUACUAGUCAAACCUACAUGAAGUUUACUAAAUGCACAGUGACAUUCUGAAGAAGAGCGAAAGAAAUUUAUGUCUGUUGAUGGUAGAAUGUAUUGCAGACUCAUGGAAGAAAUAUACUGCAAACUGAAAAAUUGAUGUGGACACAUUUUUAAACAUAUCAGAUAAAUGUGGAAGUCUACAUUUUAUAACUCCGACAUAGGCAAAGAAUAAAAAUGCUAUUAAAAAAUAAGAAUAAUGCAAUUACGUAUAUAAAAACGAUAACAACUAUAAAAGUAUAAUUAUAAUAAAAAAUGCUAGUACAAAUAAUUAAUUAAAUAACUCUCAUUUUUUACAUCAUGAUUGUAAAUCAAAAAUAUAAUGGUACAUGAUACCUAAUAAAUAUAUAGCAUAAUUGUGUAUAUAUUAUAUAUAUAUAUAUAUAUAUAUAUAUAUAUAUAUAUAUAUAUAUAUAUGUAUAUAAAUAAACUUAAUUAAUAAUACAUCAUAUCAAAGUAUCCAUAAUUGCCAAUUUGUGAUUGAUCUAUACGUUGAUCUAUAUUGUAAGGCAACAAUGUAUACAUCAAUAACGACAUACCGAAAUCAUGCCACAGAGAAUCGACGAACGAUCUACGAAAGCGCUCUGCCUUUCCAGAAUUUGCUUUUACGAGAGCAGACAUACAGGAAUACUUACAUCAGGCAUGUCAAGAAUCUGGGAGCAUAUGUUUUGUAUGGGAUAAACACCCAUUGAGAGAGCUCUGGGUCCAGGACUGUGAGCACCCUAUACCCAUCACCAUUAAAUCCAUCAUUCCAGUAACGCAGCAUGACACAAAGCAACACAGAGUCGUCAGUUACAUUAGUGUAUACCUUCGACUCAAUUUUGUGUGCCAGUGUGCGUGUGCAUAAAUGUUUGGUGGAUAAACCACUGUAUGUACGCAACAUAUGAGCAACAACAGCCAAUAAUAUUUUCAAAUUAUUCAAGUUAAAUAUACAGUAGCAUAAUAACAAUGGGUAUUUGCCACAGAAGAUAAAUGUCUAACCUCAAAAAUAAAUGUAGCAAGAAAUAAUCAAUAUAUCAUUAGAAUAUGUAAUAUAUAUAUGUAUAUAUAUAUAUAUAUAUAUAUCUUAGAACGAAGAGAAAGUAUGAGCAAUGUGUGUCAAGUACUUAGUCAAUUUCCAUUUGCAUCAAACACUAAUUGUGACCACAUCAUAGGGCUCCAUAAAAUGUAUUACAUUCUCUGUAUAAUGAAAAGAAUUUGGACCUUUAGAAUGUGAUUUCAUGUCACCUGAAGUCAAUCGAGUUUUGUAUCAGGCAAUAGCAAGCACACAUGAAUGGCUAAAAGGCACUAUCUACACCUUGAGAAGAUAACAUUGUUAAGAAGAAUAAGAGCGAAAAAAAGUAUCCAUAAAUACAUCACCUAUUUCGACAAUAUGUAUUAAUAUGGAAAGAAUUCACUGAUUAUCAGUGAUAUUCAUAAAUGUAUUUUUAGUAGCUGUGAGUGGAUAAUGGCGGAGAAGCUAGCACAAUGAGUGGAACAAUGAGUAUCUGUCUGCAAAACUUUGAUAGUGCAGCAUCCACACCAUUUUUAGUUAUUUCAACCAUCCAUUCUGAAUUUUGUGACGACGAAUAUUUGUAGAAUAGCAAAACAAUUGCCAUAGCUACUCGAUAAAAAACCUAAAGACAAAAAUGAAAAAAUAAAAUUUGUAAAAUAUCUUAAGGAAAAUAUUUUAAUAUUAAUAGGAUUUAAAAAUGUAUGGUUUAGUCAGUACACAAAAAUGUUCUUGGGGCGGUUUCCUGUUGGCACCAAGUCAAUCGUCAAAUUUAACAUUCACGCUACUAGAAUAUAUACAUAUCAUUUAUUUCAUCUUUAUCUACCAUCUGGAUCAAAGCCAUAAAAUCUUACUAAUGUGAGAGAAAAUACUAAGAAGGUUUUAUAUACUGUUCCCAAAACACGCAUCAUGAGAUAAAUAUGCAUAUUGACCGUAUUCAUUGGUAUGACAUUAAAAAAAAAUUAUUUUUCACCUUAA